rnacentral:rRNA from 1 species
AAUGAACGUUGGCGGCGUGGAUUAGGCAUGCAAGUCGUACGAGAAUCGUAGCAAUACGAGGAAAGUGGCGGAAGGGAGAGGAUUACGUGGGAAUCUACCCUCAGAACUGGGAUAGCGGCGGGAAACUGCCGGUAAUACCAGAUAAUGUCUGCGGACCAAAGGUGUGAUUCCGUCUGGGGAUGAGCCCACGUCCUAUUAGCUAGUUGGCAGGGUAAUGGCCUACCAAGGCAAUGAUGGGUAGCGGGUGUGAGAGCAUGACCCGCCUCACUGGGACUGAGAACUGCCCAGACACCUACGGGUGGCUGCAGUCGAGAAUCUUCGGCAAUGAGCGCAAGCUUGACCGAGCGACGCCGCGUGCGGGAUGAAGGCCUUCGGGUUGUAAACCGCUGUCGUAGGGGAGCAAGAAAUGAGGGUUCUCCCUCAAAUUUGAGCGAUCCUAGGAGGAAGGACGGGCUAAGUUCGUGCCAGCCGCCGCGGUAAAAC